UACGUGUGUGUGUGUGUGUGUGUGUGUGUGUAUAUAUAUAUAUAUAUAUAUACACGUGUGUGUGUAUAUAUAUAUACACACAUACACAUACACACACACACACACA
rnacentral:miRNA from 1 species